CCGAUCUCCUUCCCCCCCGCCAGAGCCUCUUAAAGGACCCCUUUUAUAUGGGAUUGUACCAAAAACGUGACCGCUCUCCGGCCUACGACGAGCUGAUCGACGAAUUCAUGGAGGCCAUCACAGACAGAUACGGGCAGAACACCUUGAUUCAGUUUGAGGAUUUUGGGAACCACAACGCCUUCCGUUUCCUCCGGAAGUACA